UAUCAUUUGAAAGUAGUUCAACUCUUUUAUCACUUUAUUCUACUGGCAAUGUAAUACAUAAUAUUACAGUCCAGUGCUUCUGAACAAUGCCCCAUUUACAAGAUAAUGUGAAUAACUACUAGUUCAAGCACAGAACUGUUAAUAGACCAUAAAAAGGUAUUUGUUCAUAUAAAGUAUCACUCAUUUGCUUUCCUAUCAUACCCUUUAUCUAAGCACUGCACUAAUGUGUCUAUGCGGUAAUAAUUUCAUUUUUGAACUUUAAGAUAAGUCUUUAAAUGACUCAAGCAUCUGUGUAGCUGAGGAAGCAUAACCUUUCCUAAGUGUUGGUGCCAGGCCAUAUUAACUGGGCUCUCUGAACACUUGGUGAAUUCUCAGCACAUUUUAACAAGUUAAAGCUAAUGGAAAACAAUUUACAACUUAAAUAGGAGACAGCUAUAAAUAAAUAUAACAACUUGGUUAUAAAACUUUUUCUCUAGCUGAACGUUCUCUCAAAUAAUAAUGGUGACAUCUCAGAAUCGAUAGCUUUCAUAGAAUGGAAAUGGAUAGAAGAAACUGGAAAUAAAUAGAAAUAUAAAAGAGAGAAAAUCGUUGAUUUCCCAGCAUUCGCAGUUUCCAAGGAUUUAUCAGGAAGACAGAGUAGCAAGAGGAGGUGAAGGAUAACCUCCCCAUUCCAGCCAGGGCAGAAGGAGACCUAAGAUGUAAAACUACUUUCUUCGAUGUGGGAAGACAGUAAAAUAUAAUGUAAUGUGUGUGUGCAUCCUAUUCUCAGAGAGAAGACCUAUCAAACAGUCACAAGAGUCUUAAUGCAGAGAACUCCUGAAUACAUUAGGGAUAUGAAAAAUGUGAAUAUGGUUGAAAACACAUGAACUGUAUUGUCCUGGAGCUGUUUUCUCUCAACAUAUAAAUGAAGUUUUCCAUUCCUUGAUCAUAUUCCAUGGCACUGAUUGGCCCAUAUUUAUCAAUGAGCAGAAUCACUGCAGCCUGAAAUACACACCUCUGUGUGCACCUCUCACUCCAGCUUCCUGCCGCCUCCAGCUGAAAUCAAGGGUGGAGAUGCUGUUGACUUCCACUACCUAUGGGACUAUUGUGGCCUGA
rnacentral:lncRNA from 12 species